GGGCCCAUAGCUCAACGGUAGAGCAACCGGCUCAUAACUGGUUGGUUCUUGGUUCGAAUCCGAGUGGGCCCACCA
rnacentral:tRNA from 1 species